GGUACACUUUGAUUCGACACGAUCUCAACUUUGUCAAGUCCCAUAUUACUCGUUCUCAUGUCCUUCCUUCAGCCACCCAAAUGUUGUUUCAACUGAAUAUUCCUUCUCCUUCUGACCUAGAAUUUUUUCAGAGCAUUUGUUUCCCCAAUACACAACAUUUCUCAAAUAUACAAGCCCUAGAAGGAUUUUCCUUACAACUUGCUCCUUAUACUUAUUCAGACACAAGAGAUGAGAUCGUGAUCAGCUCAAAUCAUUGCAAUGGCCUCCUUUGUUUUUAUGAACGUUCUAAAGUUUACUUAUACAAUGUCACCACAGCUGAGAUGAAACUUUUUGCCAUCCUCUCUAAUAAGUUGUUCCCGUGGUGCUCCUAACUUGUUUUUGGGAUUUGAUCCGGUUAAGGAAAAAUACAAAUUGCUUCAUUUUUUUUACUCCAUAGCUCAACCAGAUCAAGAUUCUAACUCUAGGAACCAACUCCGGGAGAGAAAAAAAAUUAAUCCAUGAAAUGCCUUUUCCCAGUUAUUUUGCAAGGGAUUGUCUGCUCCUCAAUGGACUACUUUUUUGGAGGAGUACUUCAUUUGACAGUAAUAUCGACUACUUUGACUUCAUAGAGGAGAAGUUUGGGUUUCUUUCACCCCCAGAAGGAAGGAGUUUUUUCCCUCCUAAUAGGCCACAAACUACAUUGUGGGGAAAGCUGGUUUGGUGUUGGUCCUACUUUGGGAAAAAAUAUAAUGUGCGCAACUCCUAUUUCAUGUCUGAUGAUGACGUUAACAAUGUUUUUAUGAAAUUUAACCUUGAUGAUUCCAAUUUAAAGAAGGCUGCCUUGCUUGAAGCAGAAUGGAGUACUGACAAGCCAAAGUUUGUUUUAGCGACAGCAAGCCUUAUUAGUGCCCCAGAUACUCUGGUGUUCCCCAAUCAUUUAUCGUUAAGACAUGUUAGCAGUUUUAUUGAGAACAUUACCCCAUUAACGUCUAUUAUUGAGGUUUAACUUUGAAAAUCAAUGUGGUGAUUCUCCUUAGCACUAGUGGAUUAAAUGGAGGUAGAUAUAUGGUCUCUAAAUAUAGAUAUGUGGUUAUGGACCUCCAUGGUGGUACAUGCUAUAUCAAAUAGUCUUCCUAUCUCAUGUUUGUCAGUCUUGGACCUACUUUCUCUAUUUUUGAUUACGGAACUCUGCCUUCACUCAGCUUUAAGUUAAUGAUUUUUUUUUAUUUUUUAUUUUUGGGAACCCGCAGCCGCUACCUUUCGAGUGCGCACAGGGUAAACCCUAAGUUAAUGAUUGCAGCUCGCUUUCUCAUGAUUGUGAUUCCAACUGGAAGAGCCAGUGCUGAGUUUGUGUUUAUAACUUCAAUACUGAAAUGGGAUCAACAAUAAAUUCUACAUCUUCGUCUGGGGACUUCUUAUGAAACAGUAUACGGUGACAGAUUAUGAUGGUUCUGCCUAUAUGGGGUUGAAGUUCAAGAAAGUUGGUCAUGCUAGUUAAGAGAAAAUGGUGUCGAUGUGUCAUCUGAUGACCCUCAAGCAGUGGGAAGCUUAGAAUGGGAGAUGAUGCAAAUUAUUAACCUAGAUCUCUUUUCUGUUCCUUAUGACUAAUAGGGCCUAACUUUUAUGUGGGACAUGUUGCUAAUGAAUGGAUGGCUUGUUAUGAUGGCAUGCGUAUUUUGCACUGUUAUCUUCCUCAAUAUGAAUGCAUAUUAGAUCCUUGUGUUCUA